rnacentral:tRNA from 1 species
GCGGGCGUAGUUUAGUGGUAAAACAUUAGCCUUCCAAGCUAACUAUGAGGGUUCGAUUCCCUUCGCCCGCU